rnacentral:sRNA from 2 species
ACCAACUACAUACUACCGAUUAUGGAGCGAAAUCAACCGUCCAGGGAUAUAUUCAGGAGCAUUAUUCAUAUCCAAAUUCAUAUCACGAUUAGUAAUGAAAUUCCUGGCUAGGAUUGAAUUCCCCGCAGAUCUGAGCUCCGACUGAGAGCCCGCUUGAUGCAAGAUACUUCCUGAAGAGCUAGCUCUCACCGGGCACUGAAUUGAUACCCAACCCGGUCAAACCACUCAUCUACAAUCGUCAUACAAUCAAUCCACAGCUCCCCGCACUUCCAUAUACCUAUCCAAACCUGCCAAAUUCGCAAUGCGCGCCGCAACCGCAGCCACCUCACCCACUCCCUCGCCUUCCGCCCUUACAGCCCUCACAGCCCCCACUGCUCAAAACCCCAUCGCCUCCCUUGCCGUCCAAAUAUUGCAUAACCUCCAGCACCAACACUUCUGGACAGCCCUGCGCAUCCACGAUCCGUACACCCUCUCCCCGACCCAACGCAUACCCCUAAUAUCCGGCCUGCCGCCUCAAGCCUACUAUACUCACCCAGACGAGCAAGCCUACAUGCUAGACCAUGGCAUUAGUACGGACGAUGUUCCCGUAGAACGCGAGUGGGUGAUUCCAACGGCACAGGGACAGGCAUGGAGCUUAAGAAGGCUGGCGGAAUGUUUUGAUGCGUUGGAGUUGCCCGAUGGCAAACAUGGAGACGGGGUUGGGAAUGCGAAUGAAGAUGAUUGCAGUGGUAUGUCAGAAACGAAUAGCGGAGAAGUGAGAGAGAACGAGAAGAAUAAGGAUCAAAAGGAGGAGAAAGUGGAGGCAAAGGAGGAGAAGAAACGGAGUAAAGAAGAGAUAUUUGCGGACUAUG